UUGGGGUCAAAAAUCAUAAUAGUAGCAUCAGUACUCUGCGUUCAAAUUUCAGAUCCAUGUUCCACAUCCAUGCAAAGCAGUUUUUAAUUACGGUGGAGGUGUGUAGAUGUGCCUAGAUUUGAUCCAUGAUUCAGCUUUGACCCAUGAGGGACAGGCCCUAAUGAUUACGGCUUCAUAUAUGUAAGUGGAGCUGGUGGUCAAGGAGGUGUUUAUUCACAAUGAGCGACGGGUGACGGCGUAAUCUACGUUUGCAGGCUCCUUAAUCCGCUUAUUGUCCGGUUGAAAUAAUCCCGUUGUGUUUUUUUUUUUUACUUUUCGGAUCUUUUUGGUUGUGUGCAUCUUGAUACCAACAUCUCAGUUCAAUUUUGCGUAAAAAAUAAAACAUCUCAGUUCAAUAAAUCUUCCAUUAUUGAAAAGCUAAUGCAAGCAUAUCUUUCAUCCUCUCGACUAUAUAAAAUUCACUUGACAACAAGGUGUGUGAUUCAGGUAAGGUAAUAAUAAUGUUGCUAGGCAUGCAGCGUUUUUUUUCCCCAAAAAGAAGGCUCCCGGCAUAUGCAAUAUUCUCUCGGAUGAACAUAGCCAUAUUUUUAUUAGAAAGAUGCUACACAUCAAUGAUGAACACAUCAGCAUACAAAAAUAAAAAUAAAAAUUCAGAGAUCCAUCUUCUUAGAUUAACCCUCAUCAUCUUCUCCACCACCCCAACCACAAAACAAAUUGUCGGGGACCAAAUCCACUAGCACAAACAUGGGAUCAACGCAAAGCGCCGUACUCUGAGACUGUUAAUGCCAAUGCCUUCGAUCAAGAAGGGACCGACGUUUGUACAUACACCGUUGUUACCGAGUCUAAUUAACUAAAUAGGUCAAACAUGGGAUUAUCGCAUCCCUGAGAUGAAACUUCAAGCCAGCACCUUUAACAAGGACACUACGCACGUACGUCAAUUUUGCCUCAUCAAACCAAGAUGCGAGAUCAAGGGUUUUCACCCCAGUGAAAUUAAAGUAUGCUUAUAUUAAUUUGUCAUGCAUGCCUCCAUCCACCAUCUCUACCGUUUGGCGCAUGACUAGCGCUAGCUAGCCGGCCAAUCAUGACACAUAGGGCGCCAUCGGUGUUAGAGAAAAUGUUGGAAGUGAGUAAAGUUGCGAUGGGUCGCUGCCUGAUCUGAAGUACUCGGCC
rnacentral:lncRNA from 1 species